rnacentral:rRNA from 1 species
GACGAACGCUGGCGGCGUGCUUAACACAUGCAAGUCGAACGGAAAGGCCCUGCUUUUGUGGGGUGCUCGAGUGGCGAACGGGUGAGUAACACGUGAGUAACCUGCCCUUGACUUUGGGAUGACUUCAGGAAACUGGGGCUAAUACCGGAUAGGAGCUCCUGCUGCAUGGUGGGGGUUGGAAAGUUUCGGCGGUUGGGGAUGGACUCGCGGCUUAUCAGCUUGUUGGUGGGGUAGUGGCUUACCAAGGCUUUGACGGGUAGCCGGCCUGAGAGGGUGACCGGCCACAUUGGGACUGCGAUGCGGCCCAGACUCCUACGGGAGGCAGCAGAGGGGAAUAUUGCACAAUGGGCGGAAGCCUGAUGCAGCAACGCCGCGUGCGGGAUGACGGCCUUCGGGUUGUAAGCCGCUUUCGCCUGUGACGAAGCGUGAGUGACGGUAAUGGGUGAAGAAGCACCGGCUAACUACGUG